rnacentral:rRNA from 1 species
CUACGGGCGGCUGCAGUGGGGAAUAUUGGACAAUGGGCGAAAGCCUGAUCCAGCCAUGCCGCGUGUGUGAAGAAGGCCUUCGGGUUGUAAAGCACUUUCAGUGGGGAAGAAAGCCUUGGGGCUAAUACCCUCGAGGAAGGACAUCACCCACAGAAGAAGCACCGGCUAACUCCGUGCCAGCAGCCGCGGUAAUACGGAGGGUGCGAGCGUUAAUCGGAAUUACUGGGCGUAAAGCGCGCGUAGGCGGUCUGAUAAGUCGGUUGUGAAAGCCCCGGGCUCAACCUGGGAACGGCAUCCGGAACUGUCAGGCUAGAGUGCAGGAGAGGAAGGUAGAAUUCCCGGUGUAGCGGUGAAAUGCGUAGAGAUCGGGAGGAAUACCAGUGGCGAAGGCGGCCUUCUGGACUGACACUGACGCUGAGGUGCGAAAGCGUGGGUAGCAAACAGGAUUAGAUACCCGUGUAGUC